rnacentral:rRNA from 1 species
UGGGUAGGGGAGCGUUCUGUAAGCCUGUGAAGGUGGCCUGUGAGGGUUGCUGGAGGUAUCAGAAGUGCGAAUGCUGACAUAAGUAACGAUAAAGCGGGUGAAAAGCCCGCUCGCCGGAAGACCAAGGGUUCCUGUCCAACGUUAAUCGGGGCAGGGUGAGUCGACCCCUAAGGCGAGGCCGAAAGGCGUAGUCGAUGGGAAACAGGUUAAUAUUCCUGUACUUGGUGUUACUGCGAAGGGGGGACGGAGAAGGCUAUGUUGGCCGGGCGACGGUUGUCCCGGUUUAAGCGUGUAGGCUGGUUUUCCAGGCAAAUCCGGAAAAUCAAGGCUGAGGCGUGACGACGAGGCACUACGGUGCUGAAGCAACAAAUGCCCUGCUUCCAGGAAAAGCCUCUAAGCAUCAGGUAACAUCAAAUCGUACCCCAAACCGACACAGGUGGUCAGGUAGAGAAUACCAAGGCGCUUGAGAGAACUCGGGUGAAGGAACUAGGCAAAAUGGUGCCGUAACUUCGGGAGAAGGCACGCUGACACGUAGGUGAAGUGAUUUACUCAUGGAGCUGAAGUCAGUCGAAGAUACCAGCUGGCUGCAACUGUUUAUUAAAAACACAGCACUGUGCAAACACGAAAGUGGACGUAUACGGUGUGACGCCUGCCCGGUGCCGGAAGGUUAAUUGAUGGGGUCAGCGCAAGCGAAGCUCCUGAUCGAAGCCCCGGUAAACGGCGGCCGUAACUAUAACGGUCCUAAGGUAGCGAAAUUCCUUGUCGGGUAAGUUCCGACCUGCACGAAUGGCGUAAUGAUGGCCAGGCUGUCUCCACCCGAGACUCAGUGAAAUUGAACUCGCUGUGAAGAUGCAGUGUACCCGCGGCAAGACGGAAAGACCCCGUGAACCUUUACUAUAGCUUGACACUGAACAUUGAGCCUUGAUGUGUAGGAUAGGUGGGAGGCUUUGAAGUGUGGACGCCAGUCUGCAUGGAGCCGACCUUGAAAUACCACCCUUUAAUGUUUGAUGUUCUAACGUGGACCCGUAAUCCGGGUUGCGGACAGUGUCUGGUGGGUAGUUUGACUGGGGCGGUCUCCUCCUAAAGAGUAACGGAGGAGCACGAAGGUUGGCUAAUCCUGGUCGGACAUCAGGAGGUUAGUGCAAUGGCAUAAGCCAGCUUGACUGCGAGCGUGACGGCGCGAGCAGGUGCGAAAGCAGGUCAUAGUGAUCCGGUGGUUCUGAAUGGAAGGGCCAUCGCUCAACGGAUAAAAGGUACUCCGGGGAUAACAGGCUGAUACCGCCCAAGAGUUCAUAUCGACGGCGGUGUUUGGCACCUCGAUGUCGGCUCAUCACAUCCUGGGGCUGAAGUAGGUCCCAAGGGUAUGGCUGUUCGCCAUUUAAAGUGGUACGCGAGCUGGGUUUAGAACGUCGUGAGACAGUUCGGUCCCUAUCUGCCGUGGGCGCUGGAGAACUGAGGGGGGCUGCUCCUAGUACGAGAGGACCGGAGUGGACGCAUCACUGGUGUUCGGGUUGUCAUGCCAAUGGCACUGCCCGGUAGCUAAAUGCGGAAGAGAUAAGUGCUGAAAGCAUCUAAGCACGAAACUUGCCCCGAGAUGAGUUCU